rnacentral:lncRNA from 1 species
GAAGAAGGCUGUAGCCAGACCAGAUUUCCCAGCUCGUCCGGUUCGUCCUAUUCUGUGGACGUAAUCGUCGAUGUCGUUGGGGAGGUCGAAGUUGACGACAUGAGCCACAUGCGGUAUGUCUAGACCGCGAGCAGCUACAUCUGUUGCAACUAGAAUUGGUGUCCUUCCACUCUUGAAGGAUCUCAAUGCAAGUUCUCUUUCCUGCAACAAAGUCCAACAAAAUUAUCAGCUGCCUAGAUACAUCGAAAGCAAUUACUCGCAAAUAUCGAAAAUACAAAAGAGCCACUGCCCACUAGCAUACACAUUGAACAGGAUAUAAGAAUAACACGGUUUAGAACAUUCAGCCAUGACGCUUUUCCUCAUCGAUGGGGUUUCCUACAAAACAAAAUGAACUAGAACCUACCAUUGUAUUGCUUUGGAAAACCCCCCUACUAAUGGAUUAUACACAAUUCAGCACUGAAGUAAAAGAAUCAUGGGCAGGCAACCACUUCAGAAAACUGAAUGAAGAGCGUGACGCGUACCGGACUAGCCAAGCGGGAACUUCUUGGUUUGCUUCUUGCAUCAAUUCUACCAGCGACCUUGCCAAUGAGCCGUUGUUGUCGUUGAAGAAGGCUGUAGCAAGACCAGAUUUCCCAGCUCGUCCGGUACGUCCUAUUCUGUGGACAUAAUCGUCGAUGUCGUUGGGGAGGUCGAAGUUGACGACGUGUGCCACAUGCGGUAUGUCUAGACCACGAGCCGCUACGUCUGUUGGCCCCAGAAUUCACAUUGAACAGUAUAUAAGAAUAACACGGUUUAGAACAUUCAGCCAUUAUGGUUUUCCUCAUCGAUGGGGUUUCCUACAAAACAAAAUGAACUAGAACCUACCAUUGUAUUGCUUUGGGAAAAACCGCCAACUAAUGGUUUAUAAACAUUUCAGCACUGAAGUAGAAAAAACAUGGAGCAGGCAACUACUACAGAAAACUGAAGCAUGUCUUGUGUCCCUUUAUAACAUUC